CAGAGGUUUAUUUCACGAUUGCCAGUCUCCUAUGGAAUUCCACUUUCCGUAGUGCAGCAGUUUGGGUCACCUCAAAAAGAAAGAUGUGAUGCUUGGAGUGUUGCUCCAGGAGUACCUUUUCAUCCUUUUCCUCCUUUGCCUACAUAUCCCCAUGAUAGAAGAGAUCCUAUAUCUCCUGCAGAUAAUGCUGCUGGAAUUUUUAGCAAG
rnacentral:misc_RNA from 1 species